ACUGUUACGUCAGAGUGUGUGUGUGUGUGUGUGUGUGUGUGUGUAUGUGAAAGAGAGAGAGAGAAACACAUUCUUGCACAUAUAGAAACACUAUGCUGACCUUUGAACCCCAGUCUUCCAG